rnacentral:rRNA from 1 species
CGUGUAGGCGGAUUGAUAAGUUUGAAGUGAAAUCCUAUAGCUUAACUAUAGAACUGCUUUGAAAACUGUUAAUCUAGAAUGUGGGAGAGGUAGAUGGAAUUUCUGGCGUAGGGGUAAAAUCCGUAGAGAUCAGAAGGAAUACCGAUUGCGAAGGCGAUCUACUGGAACAAUAUUGACGCUGAGACGCGAAAGCGUGGGGAGCAAACG